CACCACACCCCGAAAAAGGCCCUGUUGAAAUCUGAAACACCCUCAGAGCCAUCUUUUCUAUUGAGGGACGAAGAGAAAAUAAUUCCAGAGACACCCAUAAUUUCAUCUCCUCCUCGCCACAUCUCCAUCUCGCUCACAAUGCCAGACCCUCCUAGGAAGGAAUCCGCAUACGGAACCCCUUCCUCAGACACUUCCUUCCGCAAAACGUGGGAUCGCGAAGAAUAUACCAAAAAGGCCGCUGCCGAAGAAGCCAGGAAGAAAGAAGAGUCCAAAGCUCGCUACGAUGCCAAACUAGCGGGGAAGAAAUAUCAUGCGCCCGUCGACUUCAGCGCUCUCGAAGCAACAAGCUCCCGAUCCGACCGACUAAAUGUCGCGUCAAUGGUCGGCAAGACCACUAUUAUUCCCGCAGGGUCCGCUAUAGGCAAAAGAGGGCGCGGAGCAGGGUUUUACUGCCCGGAAUGCAACCUGACCUACAAGGAUAAUAUACAAUUUGUUGAGCAUUUGAAUAGCAAGCAGCAUCUCAUUGCGACGGGCCAGAGUGGGGAGGUUGUGGUAGCUACUCUGGAGGACGUGCGGAAUAGGCUGAGGUGGCUGUCCCAUAAAAAGAGGAUGCAAGAGGAGGAGGACCGGAAAGCGGGCCAAUUAGACCUUGGGGAGAGGCUGAAGACGAGAGAGGAGGAGGAGGCCAGGG
rnacentral:sRNA from 1 species